CCCGGUCGGGGACAACACAGGGAAACUUCUGCUAAUCCCGGAUGAGCCGAACGGUAAAAGAUUUAUCGCCGGGAGAUGAGCUCGCGUCUGAUUAGCUAGUUGGUGAGGUAAAGGCUCACCAAGGCGACCAUACUAGCUGGUCUGAGAGGAUGAUCAGCCACACUGGGACUGAAACACGGCCCAGACUCCUACCGGAGGCAGCAAUGGGGAAUUUUCCGCAAUGGGCGCAAGCCUGACGGAACACGACCGCGUGGGGGAGGAAGGCUCUUGGGUUGUAAACCCCUUUUCUCAAGGAAGAACACAAUGACGGUACUUGAGGAAUAAGCCUCGGCUAACUCCGUGCCAGCAGCCGCGGUAAUACGGAGGAGGCACGCGUUAUCCGGAAUGAUUGGGCGUAAAGCGUCCGUAGGUGGCUGUUCAAGUCUGCUGUCAAAUACAGUGGCUUAACUACUGAAAGGCACUGGAAACUGAACAGCUAGAGUACGGUAGGGGCAGAGGGAAUUCCCGGUGUAGCGGUGAAAUGCGUAGAUAUCGGGAAGAACACCGGUCGCGAAAGCGCUCUGCUGGGCCGUAACUGACACUGAGGGACGAAAGCUAGGGGAGCGAAUGGGAUUAGAUACCCCAGUAGUCCUAGCCGUAAACGAUGGAAACUAGGUGUAGCCUGUAUCGACCCGGGCUGUGCCGAAGCUAACGCGUUAAGUUUCCCGCCUGGGGAGUACGCACGCAAGUGUGAAACUCAAAGGAAUUGACGGGGGCCCGCACAAGCGGUGGAGUAUGUGGUUUAAUUCGAUGCAACGCGAAGAACCUUACCAGGGCUUGACAUGUCCGGAAUCUUGGUGAAAGCCGAGAGUGCCUUCGGGAGCCGGAACACAGGUGGGCGCAUGGCUGUAGUCAGCUCGUGUCGUGAGAUGUUGGGUUAAGUCCCGCAACGAGCGCAACCCUCGUCCUCAGUUGCCAUCAUUCAGUUGGGCACUUUAGGGAGAUCGCCGGUGACAAACCGGAGGAAGGUGGGGAUGACGUCAAGUCAUCAUGCCCCUUACGUCAUGGGCUACACACGUACUACAAUGGGGGGGACAAAGGGUAGCCAAGACGCGAGUCUGAGCCAAUUCCGUAAACCUCUCCUCAGUUCAGAUUGCAGGCUGCAACUCGCCUGCAUGAAGGAGGAAUCGCUAGUAAUCGCAGGUCAGCAUACUGCGGUGAAUCCGUUCCCGG
rnacentral:rRNA from 1 species